AGCAGAGUGGCGCAGUGGAAGCGUGCUGGGCUCAAAACCUUGAGUUCCGUGGAUCCAAACCACGCUCUUAUAUAGUUU